UACGGGGGGGGCAAGCGUUGUUCGGAAUUACUGGGCGUAAAGGGCUCGUAGGCGGCCAACUAAGUCAGACGUGAAAUCCCUCGGCUUAACCGGGGAACUGCGUCUGAUACUGGAUGGCUGGAGUUUGGCAGAGGGGGGUAGAAUUCCACGUGUAGCAGUGAAAUGCGUAGAUAUGUGGAGGAACACCGAUGGCGAAGGCAGCCCCCUGGGUCAAGACUGACGCUCAUGCACGAAAGCGUGGGGAGCAAACAGG
rnacentral:rRNA from 1 species